GACGAACGCUGGCGGCGUGCUUAACACAUGCAAGUCGAACGAGGUCCGGGAAAGCUUGCUUUCCCAUAUGACCGAGUGGCGAACGGGUGAGUAACACGUGGACAACCUACCCUAGAGAUUGGGAUAACUAGUGGAAACACUAGCUAAUACCGAAUACCGUUAUUUUAUCGCAUGAUAUUUUAACGAAAGCUCCGGCGCUCUGGGAUGGGUCCGCGCCCCAUUAGCUUGUUGGUGAGGUAACGGCUCACCAAGGCAACGAUGGGUAGCCGGCCUGAGAGGGCGAUCGGCCACAUUGGGACUGAGACACGGCCCAGACUCCUACGGGAGGCAGCAGCGGGGAAUAUUGCGCAAUGGGCGAAAGCCUGACGCAGCAACGCCGCGUGGAGGAUGAAGGUUUUCGGAUUGUAAACUCCUUUCAGCAGGGACGAAGGCGCCUAGCGUUGACGGUACCUGCAGAAGAAGCCCCGGCUAACUACGUG
rnacentral:rRNA from 1 species